UUAAAAAUUAUAUAAUUUUUUAAUAACUUUUAGUGAACUAAUCCUAAAAUUAUCAUUUUGAUCUAGGAGGAAUAAAUUUAAAUCCAAAUCUAAUUGGUUUAUAUGUAUAUUAACUAAACUACGAGAUAUUAGUUUUUGACACUUUUUUUCUCGU
rnacentral:misc_RNA from 1 species